UACAGAGGGUGCGAGCGUUAAUCGGAAUUACUGGGCGUAAAGCGUGCGUAGACGGCUAUCUAAGUCGGGUGUGAAAGCCCCGGGCUCAACCUGGGAAUUGCAUUCGAGACUGAAUAGCUAGGGUACGGUAGAGGGAAGUGGAAUUUCCGGUGUAGCGGUGAAAUGCGUAGAUAUCGGAAGGAACAUCAGUGGCGAAAGCGGACUUCCUGGACCAGUACCGACGUUCAGGCACGAAA
rnacentral:rRNA from 1 species